rnacentral:rRNA from 1 species
UACGUAGGGUGCAAGCGUUGUUCGGAAUUACUGGGCGUAAAGCGCGCGUAGGCGGCCUUGCAAGUUAGAGGUGAAAGCCCGGAGCUCAACUCCGGAACUGCCUUUAAAACUGCAUAGCUUGAAUCCGGGAGAGGUGAGUGGAAUUCCGAGUGUAGAGGUGAAAUUCGCAGAUAUUCGGAAGAACACCAGUGGCGAAGGCGGCUCACUGGACCGGUAUUGACGCUGAGGUGCGAAAGCGUGGGGAGCAAACAGG